rnacentral:tRNA from 3 species
GGGCCUAUAGCUCAGUCGGUUAGAGCAGAGGACUCAUAAUCCUUUGGUCCACGGUUCAAGUCCGUGUGGGCCCACCA